rnacentral:lncRNA from 1 species
UGCUGACACCCAAGUCUCAGUAUAUGAAGCCCAGCAUGAUGGACAUGAGAAGAGACUUGAAGUGCAGACAGCAGUAAGCUUGUGGGCCUUACAGAAAGCACAGGCUUGAUUGGAAAUGAGUGUGCUCUUAGGCCUGCCUCGAGAUUAGCCUAAAAAAGUACCAGUGCGCACAUCUGAAUGGAUGGGCAGUAGACAGAUGAAUAGUUGAGAGCCAAUUUAGCUGAAGUAUAGGGGUUGGUAGCAUUGAGGCUGCAAAGAUAAUAUGGAGCUGAUUGUAAAGGGUCUUGAAUACCCGUUUUUAGAGCUUGGAUUUACCCUGUCCUGGAGUGUAAGGAAGUAUGACAAGGGGCAGCCAGGAAGUGAAAUUAUUGGUGGGAUGCUUUAAAAGAUGAGCAUGGCCCGGUGCUAGAAAGAACUGAGGUACAGAGGCCAGAGGGUUGCCGAGCAAGCCUGCCUAGGUCACAAAGAGCACUGUGCACGCGGGGCUCACCAGGUGUCGUCCUAAGAGCUCAGCGACAUUCACUUAUGGAGUUCUCACAUGCAGCAAGCAGAUGGCAGCUGAGAGUUUCAUCUGUCCGCAGAAACUCGAAUCCACCACGACUCCUGCGUUCUGACCCGUGGAGAUUCACUGUACAACUGGACCUCUAGAGGCUUAGCACCGUAUCUGAUGCGCGGUCGCUCUCCGUCCACACGGAAUGCAUGAGUUGGAGAAAGGAGCGAACGCGUGGUGGAAGAGAUGCUGGAAGAGUGGCUGACUGGACCAGGAAGCACAACAGAGACAGCCCUUCUCACACGCAGAGGGAGACCCCAGAGAGCAGUAAUUCUGUGCACGCCAAGCCCUAGAACCUCAGCUGCCCACCCUUUGCCCGAAGAACUGAAGUGCAGGGUCACCGCUAAGCGGUUCCUUUCACUGUCUGCCAAUCUAUCAAGAUUCAGCUACCGCUGUGACCCCAUCAACUCCACGGAGGGGAAGAAAGGGACCCCUCACCACAGCAAUUAUUUACCGCAGCCUGACCUUUCCCAGUUCCACAGAAGUAGCAGUUGGGAAAACCUUGGUGGGCAGGAGUUUUUCACACCCUCCCUCCUUUUAACAAGCACACAGGUGGGGGGAGCUGCAAGCUCUCUCGUGCAAAAUUUUGCUUUACAGAAAGAUCUUUGGGCGGUCCAUAAGCUAGGAUAGCCCAGCUUGCCUCUUGGAUUUAAACAAGAACUGUUCUGCACCAGGACCUGGAGAGAUCCAACACCGUCAACUCCAAAGAUGUGUGUGUGUGUGUGUGUGUGUGUGUGUGUGUGUGUGUGUGUCCCCAACUUGGAAGAAAAUCCAGACUAUAAUAAGGGCCAUGCAGGGUGUAACUCCCUGUGUAAAUUUAAAGUGACCUAAGGGACAUAAUUAUAUAAAUCUCAUCAUGAGACAAUAUACUUUUUAUUUGUUUGAAUUUUAUUUGUAUUGGUAAAACUGACCUGAAACUGACACAAGUUUAUUAGAAAAAGGACUCUGUAAAAGCGAGUGGGCUGGUCUUCUUAUUUAAGAUGGAUGUGCCAACUUCUAGUAUGAUUAGAGAAAUGGAUAACUCACUAACAUCUGUGCAAACUACAAUAAAAAGGGAUUUAGUGUUACCCCAAGGAAGGCAAGAGAGGCUGUCUGUCCAUUAAACGCUUUAUUACAGUGCCGGCAGCUUUGUUCUAAUUCAGUUAUUCCUGCACGGCGUUCAGCACUCUGACUGCCUGUCAACCCAGCAGACAGUGCUCGGGGCUGGGAGGUUUUGUGCAAGGUAGGUGACAAUCAAAUGAGCCACUGAGAAGAGAGGGGUGCCUGACCCUCGUGAAGGAUUAACUACAGAAAGUGAGUGUGAUCAUGUCACAC